AUGAUUCUCAUCACGGAUGUUUCUUUCUCUCUCUCCCUUUCUAUUCCUCUCUGAAAUCAAUACAAAUAUAUUUUGUUUUCUUUUUAUUUCUUUAUAAAGAGGCCACCAGGAACACACCUGUAAUCAGAAAGUUGGGUUUAAUUAGUCGUUGCAACGAGGGAGAACACUCAAGGUGGGCAAAGCACCUGCUCUCCACUAUUAGCUAUAUCUGGUGUCAACUGAAAAAUAAUAUGGGCUAGAUGUUUUGUCACCAAGAAAAAUUUAUUCAGGAAAAAGAGAGGGUUGCAAUCUGAUGCAAGCAAACAUGGCAAGCCAUGUGCACACUCUAGCCUGCAUGCCACAAUGCAGGGGCAUUUAUAAAAGGGGGAAAGGGAGUGAAGGAAGGAGAGGUGAGAUCCAUAAAGGUUUGCUAUAAACAUAGAGUUCUUCUUGUGGGCUCCUCCCAUGCAGGGUUCUCCAGAUUAAGGUAGCUGUGAGAACUUCCAUAAGCCUUAACUUCUCCUGCACACUCUCCUGACUGAUUAUAUUUGCCUCAAGUUUCAGUUAGUCUUUAUCACAGAGUUCUCCUAGUUCAGAUACUGUCUGUUUAGCCUGGAUGGAGUAUAAACUUUCAAUCUCCUGCCAAUGUGAAAGGGGACCAAUUGGUGGGGCUAUGGCAGACCAGGAGUGGGGAUCUGGCGAUGUGUUUAUUGAACGGAAAGGCCUUUAAAUGAUUCUCCUGUAUUUAGUCCUGAGCCUUUGGAGAGUUCUUUGUGGGUAAAUCGAGUUGCUUUUUUGGCUUUCUUUAAGAAUGUCCUAGGAUUCUGCUUAUUUUAAUAGGCUGUCAGAUACCACCUGCCCAUUUGCUUUAUAACUGUCAUUCCUUUUUUUGUUUGCUUUCUCACGGGGUUUAAAAGAAUCUCCUUACUGUUAUUUUAGUGGGGCUUAAGUAGAGAGAGAAUCUAAAUGUGUUUGAUUUGUCAUCUCAUUGUUAUUGGUUUACACCAAGCAUGUCAAACUCAAAGGCUAACAAGGGCCAAAUAAACAAGGUUAAGUUUAUGUGGGUCGCAAAAAAACAAAAAACUCUGAAAGCUUUAAUUUUCAUAGGAAUGUAGAUUUAUUUCAAUAGAGAAAUGCUGAAUGAAAAGGGCUGAAAUACAAUAAAUGGAUAAUUGUUAAUGAGUAUUCGUUGUGGGUUGCAGGUUUGACAUACUUGAUUUAUACACAUAUUCAUUAAAUGAUGUAAUGACCAAAUGCUGGGCAUUUGAAUACUUUUUUUUUUUUUUCAUGAGCCAAGCCUUGUGUUAUUUUUUUAUACUCAUGUUGGUGUUUAAUGAGAAAUACAAGUGACUUCCUAGAAUUAAUAGCUAGUAGGUGUAUUUUCCUUAUAUGUUCUGUUGAUUUGUGUUCUGAAUAAGAAGACAAUAUCUCCCUUACAUAAAUAAAGCCUUUUCAAUUGCCUCAUAUAAAAAACUAAAGAUAUUUUGAAGUAUAGCAGAAAGAAAACAGUAUAGUAUAGGGGGUAAGCCAAACUGUCUGGUUCAAAUCCCAGUUCUGCAUUUUUCUAGCUGUGUGGCUUUGUACAAGUUUCUUCAUUUUCUGUGCUUCAGUGUCCUCAGCUGUAAAAUGUGGAUAUUAGAAUCUUACUUAUGUGAUAUUAGAUGAUUUCAUAGACCUGGAAAAACUGAGAGCUGUGCUUGUUUCUUAGUAAAUACUAUAAAAUCAUUUCUUAAGAAUUAAGGGAAAGAGAAUCUUUAGGAGGGGACUGCUGGUUAUUCCCCAAUAUUUAGUAUUCUCUUGUUUUAUAAUAGCAGACCUUCCAAAUUUCAGCUGAGUACAUGGGUGCUUGGUAGAAAAAAUUCAUUAUAGUAAUUGCAUUGGCCAUAAGAUGAAAUUCUAGCUAAUGGGACAUCAGUGGACACUGGAUGUGCAGCUUCCAAGAAAUGUCUUAAAGGGGUAGAGUGUGCCUUGAUCACUCCCUUGGUUUGUGGUUUCCCUGAUAGUCUGAGUGCAGACAUGAUGGCUACAGCCCCCUUGGACCACAGGUAGAAUCUGCAGGUUGAAGAUGGAAGAGCAGCAGGAUGAGAGAGAAGGAGGCUGAGCCCUAACAUCAAGGAACCACCACUCCAGCCCUGGACUAUACUAGUAUUUACAUGAGAGAGAAAAUCAAUUUUGUUUAACUUAUUUAUGUGUGUUUUCUGAUGUGCAGUCAUGGUAUGGCUUGGAUGGUUUAGUCUUCGCUUAUCAAAGGCGUCCCACUUUACUUUUAAAUGAGCCUUCCAGGUAACAAUAGUGACAGAAGGAGGUCAGGGUAGAAGAUACCCGCAAUGCCUCAUUUUCUGGAUACUAGAGGCCUGGUGCAUGAAAUUUGUGCAUUGGAGGAGAGGGAGUCCCCUUAAUCCAGCCUGCACCCUCUCCAAUCCAGGACCCCUCAGGGAAUGCCUGACUGCCUCUCGCAAUCUGGGACUGCUGGCUCCUAACUGUUCGCCUGCCUGACUGCCUGAUCGCCUCUGCCUUGCACUGCACCUGGGAGCAGGAUUCCCUCCUUCUGGCCGGCUGUAGGCACACAGAGCCUGGGCCAGCUGCAGCCACAGAGGGCUGUGGGCAGGCAGCUUCACCUGGGGCCACAAGUGUAGGUGCCCAAGACCGUGGGGUGGGCGACUUGUCUGUCUCCCGGGCCUCAGCCUGACUGGUCUCCAUUCCUCUCUCACGAGCUCAUUUGUCCUAGCUGGUUCCCAUGAUGGUGUGAGGGUGUGACAUUCAUUUGCAUAUUAGUUCUUUAUUAUAUAGGAUGCUUCUCAAGAGGUAGCUGUCACUUCUGGGUACUAAGACUUUUUUUCUUUAUCUUAUAACCUUAGAGCUAUACUAAGAAGUACUAGG